CACUAAGAAGCUACAAUGGGUUUAGCAUUAGCCUUUUAAGCUAAAAAUUGGUGACUCCCUACCACCCUUAGUGA
rnacentral:tRNA from 2 species